rnacentral:rRNA from 1 species
GACCUGCGGAAGGAUCAUUAUUAAAUGUUACUCCGGUAACUUUAUAAUCCCUUAACACCUGUGCAUUUUGUCGCUUCGGCGAUAUUAUACAAACAUCAGUGUAAUGAAUGUAAAUUAUUAUAACAAAUACAACUUUCAACAACGGAUCUCUUGGCUCUCGCAUCGAUGAAGAACGCAGCGAAAUGCGAUAAGUAAUGUGAAUUGCAGAAUUCAGUGAAUCAUCGAAUCUUUGAACGCACAUUGCGCCUUUUGGUAUUCCGAAAGGCAUGCCUGUUUGAGUGUCAUAAUCACCUCUCAUACCUAGUUUUCUAUGUAUGAGCUUUGGACGUUUGCCAUCCGUGGCUCGUCUUAAAUGACUAAGUGGAAUGCGUAAUAAGUUUUCGCUCCCUCCACUCUAAUAACUUUUUAGUUAGACCUCAAAUCAGGUAGGACUACCCGCUGAACUUAAGCAUAUCAAUA